CCUACGGGGGGCAGCAGUGAGGAAUAUUGGUCAAUGGGCACAAGCCUGAACCAGCCAAGUCGCGUGAGGGAUGACGGUCCUAUGGAUUGUAAACCUCUUUUGUCGGGGAGCAAGGCCCGCCACGUGUGGCGGGAAGGAGAGUACCCGAAGAAAAAGCAUCGGCUAACGCCGUGCCAGCAGCCGCGGUAAUACGGAGGAUGCGAGCGUUAUCCGGAUUUAUUGGGUUUAAAGGGGGCCGAGGCGGAAGGGUAAGUCAGUUGUGAAAGUUUGGGGCUCAACCGUAGAAUUGCAGUUGAAACUGGCAGUCUUGAGUAGAGGAGAGGUGGGCGGAAUUCGUGGUGUAGCGGUGAAAUGCUUAGAUAUCACGAAGAACUCCGAUUGCGAAGGCAGCUUACUAGACUAUAACUGACACUGAAGCACGAAAGCGUGGGGAUCGAACAGGAUUAGAUACCCGUGUAGUC
rnacentral:rRNA from 1 species